GAGUGUGGAUCCUGAGUCAGAACG
rnacentral:piRNA from 1 species